GCGCGAGCGCGCGUCCUGCAGUUCAUCUCGCGCCUACCUAAUAGCAGCAAUCGUUCAAUCGAGCCUGGAAAGAUAGGGAAAAAAUUUUUUAGCAUACAAUUGGUGUGUGUUUGAAAGUGUUUCUCCCUCCCUUUUUUUUCCCCCCCGGCCUAAUUUUCACCUCGUGGUGUGAGCGCGGAGCUGCCGGGGGAGAAGUGAGUCAGCCCGAGCACAGGGACUCAUCUCUCCGCUCCGCGCGCGCCACGAUGCAGCUCUCUGGAUGAAGAAAGCACGUCUUGAUUAACGCCAGUCUCCACACACACACACACACACACACACAUGCACACACACACACACACAUGCACACACACGCACCCGCACACGCACACACACUGUACAUGCGCGCGCGAUUCUCUCCUGAUCAAUACGAUACACAACAUUCAGCUGAAUAGAUAAGUAUAUACCUGAAUAUCUAACUUGUUCUAGCUCUGGUUACAGGUUUCCCUACAGUGAAUAAGUGUCUUGUCUGACAGGAAGAUAGGUCUUGAAGGUGUAAUGCUGGAUAAUGGAGCUCUCAGGCUAUAAGUUAGCUAGGCUGAUGAUUAGUAAUUAACAUUAUUUUGGAUGUUAUUGAAGUUAUUGCAGUCAAUUUUUUUGUGAUGCCAGUGGCGGGGUUUUGGGGGCGAGAUGUGUUUCGGUUUCAAUCCAACUGGCCCGCAAAGUCCCGCUUCUGGUGCUCACCCAUUCAGUGUACAACUGGGCCAUCAUCAUAUUAUUAUUCUGAUAUUCAUAAAUAUAAGAGAAUAUCUUGAUGCGUCAGAUGGUGUGUGUGUGAUCAAAUAUGCACAAGGUGUUGUGAACCUUGUUGUUAAAAGAGAAGUGAACCAUACAAAUUUGACUGUUUAUAACUUCUUCAACUUGUUCAUAAUCAGCUUCAUCAUGGAAUCAUGGUUUUGCCUUGUUUCGUAAUGAAUAUGUCAUUUGUUCAGUGAGCUGAUAUUGAAGGUUGUGACAUUAAGCUACGUAUUGUUGGCUAAUUUGCUGUGAUCUUACGUUGUUCACUCACAUUUCAUUAUAUUUCGAAUGAAUUCAGAUAUAUUGGGACACUUUUUUCCAACUUGUCUAAGCUUUCUUGCCGUUAGUGAAACAAAUACGCCAACAAAUGAAGUAUUUCUGAAAUCCUCACGGUGUUGACUAUGGAGGAAAAAAGUUUAUCAAAAAGGUGGCUUACCAUUUUGUCAAGACUGACUGAAAACAUUUUUAAUGACAUAUUUAGGAAUUUGGGACACGUUUUCAUUAGUUUUCAUCCUCAAUUGCUUGUUUAGAACAUUUUUUACGUGUAGCAUACUUACUGGUGGAAUUAUUAACAUUUCACUUUUCAGUAACAAGAUUUUUUCAAAUUCUUAUCAAAAUUCAUAAUCAGCGUAUUUUAAUUAAACACGGUAGACUGAGUACAACUGAAUACAAAUUAAGAUGUUUGUGUGAGUAAAAUUCAGUAAUUCAAUUCUUAAUAAGUACAACAGUAAAAGGUUUUAGGAAAAUAGUGAAUAUUUUCCACGUUCAUAACCAAUGUUUUCUAAAAUUCAGUGUGAAUAGAUUAAUUAAUCAUCACAGUAGAAAACCACCCCAAAGCAACAGUUUAUAAUUCAUUUCUUGCUGUAGAAGCAUAACCUACGAUUUCAAAAAUAAAUACCAUCAAUCUCAGAAAUCUCUGAAAGUAUACGAUCACCGUUCAGUAAGUAAAAAUAUCUUCAUACUAAAUAUAAGGUCUGAGUAACGUUCUGUAUUUCCCAGUCAACUUUAUUUUUCUGCUUCCUAAUAUGCUUCAUAAAAACACAAUUUAAUGCAUAGAAAACCUCUCAGUGCAUCAUUUAAUCAUAGUUGAGGGUGUUUCAUGUGUCACUUCAUGUUAUAUUCUUUCACUUUAUCUCUCUCCAGUUAUUGUAUUUUAAGAACUUUUAACUUAACCUGCACUAGUCUUGAAAAUGAUUAAAUUAUAAAUAUCUGUACAUGAUUUGAACAGACAUCAUGCAUCAUAAAUAUGUGAAAUAAAUUCACAAAUUCACAUAUGCCAAAUUCACUUCACUCACUCACUCACUUCACUUAAAUUAUUCAAGAUCAUCUUAUUACUUUAUUAAAUAAACUAGCCAAAUCAUAUGUCAUUUUAAUGAUGACCACACCCCCUUAUAUGAUGUCACAUGAAUGAAGUUGUGUUAUUUUUAUCAGGCGCUUCCACUGAAGGAGCUUAGUAACAUACGUUUUGAAUUUUAUUUUUUAGGCCAGAAAAUAAAUGCUGCUAAUUUUAACUGUCCCAAUUUACCUGAAAUCACUCUACAGGUAGAUAUUUAUCCACAUUUAACCUAAAAGCAAAGCAGAAUACAAUCCAAGCCUAUACAGUAACAUUUUUUCUUUUGACAUUGCCAAAUUUUGCAGAAAUUGCUCCUAAAUCAUCUAAAUCACCACAUUUGGGUUCAGCAACAAUAAAACAUGAGCCAGAGAAGCCAGAGAAGGCCAUUAGUGUGUAUAGCUGUAGCAGUAUGAAUCAGAACGGUGUAAAUGUAACGCCGCAGGGAGAAUGAGGGGCUUUUGGGGGCACUUGUGUUUCAGUUUCACCAUCAUAAUGCCCCUAAAAAUCCUUAUUGCUCUUGCACUAAUCUCCAGGCUACUUUAAUGUAUUGGUUUAUGGUUGAGGUCAGCACUAAAAUAAAAUGGUGAGGCACUGUGGUAAUGUUUUUUUUAAAGUUAAAUUAAAAUGUCAGAUUCACAGCAGACCAUAUUCUGUUAAGCUCCAGAUCCAAUAAAGAUUGGAGAUGACUUUAUUGCCAGGAUAGUGCUUCAGGCUCACUGGAAGAAUCACUUGGAACCAUUACAGGCAAUCUAUGUUUGGUAUGCUUGAGUUAUGAUGUAUGGCAUUCAAGGCAACAAUGAUUGAGCCCCUUGCUGAUACUUCAGUGAUGACAUAGAGCACAGAUUGAAUAUCAUACAAGCUAUCAUCCAGACUAUACCGUAGGGGCAGAGCAGAAGUUUAGGCUCCUUUGCUUAGCUUGAAAAUGUUAUCAACAGCAUAAUUUCACUUGCUGAUAAAAGAAAUACUCAUCCUAGUUGAUCCUAACUCCUAACAUUUUUUCCCCGAAAUGCCUCUGAAAUCCAAGCCGAACUUAAGCGAAAUUGGCAGGGAUAGUGACAGAACAAUUUCCCUGGAUUUCAUAUAAGGAAAGGAAGAAAAGUUAAAUCAUUUCUCAAUGUAACCUAAACCAACUGUAACAUUGUAGGAUUGUGUAAAUACUGUGGCUGUAACUAAUGUGACUCUCUUUUUGUAUUCUUGAUUUUCUGGACUAGCUUCAGGUCUUUUUGUGCAGUUUUUGAGAUGUAGUUGAGGUGAAAAAUUUGAGACCUGUAACCAGUACGCAUAACCUAUCAUGGCCGGAGAGCUAAUGUUGAAUUAGCCAUGUUUCAUUUCUUUACAUUGUAAUGCACAGCUUUUAGAGUCUGAAUGGAUCACACAAACACUAUCAUUAUUAAGUUUCAAUUGUUCUACCCUUAUCAUUUUGAAUAUUUUAUCCUACUGAAAAGGGAAACUUAAGGCACACAUUCAGGUAUUGCGUAUUUGUGCUAUUAUCGAAAAGGUUUCAUACUGACACACCGUCGUAUCGUGUUGUAUCAUAUCAUAUCAUAUCGAAUUUAAAUUUUGUGUAUCGUUACAUCCUUAGUAAAUACUUUUUAAUUUGCAAUUGUGAGAUUGCUAAAACGAUAUAAAUAUUUUAAAACAAGGAUUUAUCUGUGCGACUUUCUGAAGAGGAAGAAUGCAGGACAUUCUAAGGGUGAAUUAAGCAUGUGAUAUGGAGCAAGCUUAAUUUUUGAAACUUUACUAAUUUAACAUUAAUAAGGCAACAGAUAAAAGGGGCAUAUUGUGUUCACACAAAACCUCUCUAUAUUUUCUCAUCCAACAUUUAGUUUAGUGCUGUGUUGUGUUGGGUUAUGUCCCCAGGUUAGUUGCUUACAGCUCGGGUGUAUCGCUAUUUGUUUUUAACUGUAAUGCCUUCUGGGAGCUACAUCUACUAAGUUGGCUAAAUUUUAAUGCUUUCAUCUUUUUUUUCAUCUCUAAGUAUAUCAUCCUUACUUUUAUGUAUCUAAAGUUUACAUCAUCAAAGAAUUUACAGAGGACUUUUUAACUAAGGGCAUUGUGCAUCGAGGGAAUAGAUGAAGGCAUUCCAGGCAAAGGAAAUUCACAGCUCCAUGCAAAACGGAGAGAGACGUGACAGAAUGCCCAGGUCAUUUACGCUUGUCAUGCAUAAUUAUGUGCUAUUGCUCACAGCCAUAACUGACAAGAGGACAGUAUGAUUAGCCAGUUUAUUGUCUUUUACAAUAAAUAAGCAGACUAGUGUGAUGAGCUAUUAGAUGUCAUGGGAAGAACCUGUUUGACCAGUAGUUUUAGUGCUUAUCGUAUUUAAUUAAAUUAAACCAUUGCAUUGGAAAUGUUUUUAGUCACAGUUUUUGGGAAAUAUCAGGCCUUAAGCAGGUAACUAACAAGGUGCAUUGCUUUUAAACCAGGUUCAAUCCAGUAAACAAGUUUUACUAACCCUGUGAUGUUCAGUCCACAGUAAAUGUAGAAAGGACAAGAUAGAAUUUACUGCCACUUUCGGGCACAUUUGUGAGGUUGUGUCCUACUUGUAGUUGUAAACAUGAUGUGAUUCCAAGAAUCGAACCUGACAUUUGGUUGGGAGAGUUUUGUUUUAACUUGCCACACUGAAAAUUUUCCAGUUAACCUUCACACUUAUAUAUGAUAGUACUGACAUUUUUGACUCAGCUGAAUGGUAUUCGUUAUAUUCGUUAUGUAACAGUUACUCAGCCCAGGGACUCAUUUCGACAAUUGGGUCUGUGCUGACUAUUUUCAGCUGACAAACUUGAAAUAAAAUCUCCUCAUUAUUUCCAGGACUAAUAAUAAAAUGCAGUCCUAGAUGUUUAUUAAAUCGGCAGGCACAUUUCUUUAAACUUGUAAUACUGAAAUAUUGUUUACAUUUACAAAAUUGAACUGUAAAAUUAUAUCCAACUGCUGAAACUAUAUUGUUGUGUCAAGGUAAUUAGGGAUACUGACUGAUCUCCAAAGUUAGUUUGUACAAUAUAAAAUCUAGAGUUUAAUAAGGAGCAAUUGGAUGAUUUGAGCUAUAUAUAUAAAUUCUGGUGUAAUCUUUGGAGAACAUUGUACAAGGAAUGUGUAUGAACCCUGGGCCCUCAUAUAUAUUAAUUCUAAAUAUACAGACAUAUACAAAAUUAGUUUUCUAAUUCUGUGCUUAACUUUAAAUGAAUAACUUUUAAUAAAUGAAUAACUUUUCCUAAAAGCAAGUUACAUUAAAUGGAUUUUACUGUUACAACCACCUUUAAAUAGGUACUAUGACAAAAAGAGAUUUUGCUUUUCUUUACAUUUUCGAUCUGGAUAUUGCUACAUUCUCAGUCAUGGUCUAAGAAAGUCUAAGAAAUCGAAAAAGUCUAAGAAAUUAUUUUUCUCAAUAAAUAUGCAAGAAAUGUAUUCUGUAAAUGAGAACCAGAACCCAGUACAACCCAGCUCUGUUUUCUAACUUUCUGUGAGUGAAGGUGAUCCAGUACAAAUUAAAUGACUCAUUAUAAAAUUUUGUUAAAUCUGUUAACAUUAUAUUAGUUUAUUGUUCAAAAAUAACCCUAAAUGAAAUGCCUUUUAUAUGCAUUAAAAAUUAGGAAAGAAAUAUACAAAAAUUAAACCGAUUAAUAAAAAGUAAAUUUAUCAGCAAUUUACUAAUAUAAUGUUAAAAUCCUUCAAGAUAAGGGAGGAUAUAGAAAUAUAGAACUAUAUCGCAAUCUCUGCAUGUUUCAAUGCAAGUUAGUUGUCUGAAUCUCAGAUAAUAAUCUACAAACAGGUGACAAAUUAAAAGAAAACCACUGACUGUUAUAUGGUUCGAUUUGUUUGAUUAGAGGAAAGUGGAGCUGCAAAAGUUAUUCUGACUGAUGACCUUUAUCCUAUGAUUGAAAUUUCUGUCCUGAUGGGGGUGGUCUUUUGCAUCCACAGGGAAAGAGGGCUCACAGAAUGAUUUGAUGAGUAUGAAAAUGAUGUAAAUCAUAUGCUCUGGCCUUCACAGUCAUCAGAUCUCAACCCAAUUCUACACACGUGGGAGAUUUUGGACUGACGUGUUAGACGGCACUCCUCACCACCAACGUCAUCAAAGCACACCAACUGAACACAUAUCUUUUGGAAGAAAGGUGCUCCAUCCGUCCAUCCUGUACUGUUCCAGAGACUUGUUAAAUCUUAUUAAAUGUUUGUAUAUGUUUCGUUCUAUUUCACCUCCAUUUCCUUGUGUGCAUGUGAUGCAUGCCUGGAUCUUCCAACAAAGUCACAUAGUGACAUAUGAAGCAGUAUAUGCAAUAAAUACCUCCACUAUACACCAAUCAUUCCUUUCCUUCUUCUCACCAGCGUGCGUGUUGAACUACCUUUACACGAUAUGGAGCGAUUCUCUUAGCAGCUUGUUACCACAGGUGUCUUGUCCUUCAAAGCUUCCUCUCAUUUCUUUCUACUUUGAUGAUUGUGCUUUCUUUCAUGUCAUGAGCAUUUUUCAUAGAACGCUACAGGGCUCUAUAGCGUCCAUUAGCCUGAAGUCUUUUUUUUUUCCUUGUUAGCAUCACGCUGCAUUUUGACACCUCACUCCUGCCAGUGGGACACCUGGGCCAGGAUAUGGGGCAGCUGUCAGUUAACAUGGUUUAUCUGCUGUGCCUGGUGUGCUGUCAGCCCUCUGGAAUCUGUGUUCCAUCAUAGUGUCCCUCUUUGGACCUGCCAUUAAAGAGGUUUCGAUAUCAUAAAGCCAACAUGACCAAAUGGACCGUUUUACAUGGCGCCUUUAGGACACCACACCCUGACUCCAUGUCCUAAUGCCUACAAGAGGCCCACCCCCUUAUCUACUCCAUGAAGGAUGCUCUAGAUAACAUUCACUCACCACUAAAUAAUGUUGUGGAGCAUGUCUCUGAAGGUAAGGGGCUGGCGAUGGCGUGCUUUACUGUCACGACUGGCCUCACUGAGAGCAACUUAUCCUCUGGGUGCAACAAUGGUAUGGUGGACCCGAGGUGGUAGCCUAGAUCCGGGAGAGGAUGGGUGAGGUGCAGUGGACCUUUUCACCAGUGCCAUAUCAACACAUUGCCGUUUGUGGUUGGCUCUGGCAGAGCCAGACAGCCUGGUGGUAGGACAGGAUUUCCUAGUGCACACCUGGCUUCACCACGUGGUAUUUACUGCUGAUUGUUCCCACACUGUACAGAAUUCAACAACUAGGCCCCAGUCCUGCUUGUGGCCAGCAAGACCUUGGUUCCCAUUGCUGAUUUCACUAUUUGUUGAAACAACCUGAUGCCUACCUCUCUGAACAGAUCUGCUGUCCCGAAUGAAUGCCAAACAGUCAUCUGUGUCUGAUCUCUGGCCCCUUUGGCUAAAUUUUCGUUGUAUGCCAUUGAGUGGAAUUUGUUCUGCAAAUUAUGUUCCAACUUGAUGCAUUGCCCAAGACCUAGUCUCCUUACUCCUUAGUCUGUCAGCAGCAAGUCUCAUCAAUCUAUACACUAAAGAUGUAGGGUGGCAGACAUCAUCACACUGGCAUAUAGAAGAGUUGGGUGGUCUUAGAGGAGUCCCUCUAAGAGGAGUGUCUUCUCCUCCUGGGUCUUAUAUAGAGGUGUGUCGCUCCAGGAAGUCUGCGUUGUAGCUACCUGGGUGUGACCAUGCACUUUCUCCAGAUUCUAAAAGGUUAACAUCCCUGCCAGUGAUGUAAGUAUGGCGGUCAUCUCUGAGCAUAUGCAUUUCAGACAAAUUUACCAUUUAAACUAUUCAAGGCAAGACUGAAAAGUUUACACUGAGUGACACUUUAAACUCAUCACAUUCCACUUUUAAAAUUCAUUUCACUUCAACACCCUUGUGAGAUGGUGAGUUAAGUUAUAGGAUGUUUAUCUACCAAUGUUAAUUGUCUCCUACCAUAUCAUGAGACAGUGAGUUGGCUGUGUACAUGUGAGGAGUGACAAAAUUGCUUCACAUCAGCUAAGCCACCGUUUUUCACUUACAGAUAGAGCAGUUCUGUUUUUAUACUUUAAGGAUAGUGGUUUUAAUUAAAGUUUGAUGGAGCUCAAAUUUGACUAUGUUUGACACUUACUUUUCAAUGCUUAACCACUCUGAUAAACUGCUGUAUGAGAUAUGACAGGAACCAGCUCAGUGUGUACAAGCAACAGAGGAAAAAAUCUCUUUGUUGCACAACCGCGAAUGAGUAUUAAAAAUACUGCAACAACAAUGUGUGAGCACUGAAAUGGAAACUCCAUGAUGAGGAUGGUCCUAUGUCUUUUUGGCUUAAGUUGAGAUGUGUUUUCGCGAAGCUGCAUCCAGACAUAUAAACUGUCUUUUGAAUAGACUUGCAGCUAAUCAACAAUGAGUGUGUCUUGAGGAUGCAGCACAUCAACUUGCAGGCAGCCGCGCUCAGAUGCUGUGAUUUCCCACAACACGUUUGAUGACUAUUAAAUAAUAUUCAUAAACAAAAUUUACUGUUUGAAUUAUGAGAUUUUCUUGAAUAUUAAUUUGAAAAUAUGGAUGAAUCCUUGCUCAUCUGUUGGGGGAAGUCGUACAGUGAACCCUGUUUCUCGUGACUCCUGUUCCACAUGUUGGUAUAUAUUAUCCAGGUGUAAUACAGUUAGAAGGGGUUAAAUACAACACAAGUUACAUAUGAAACUGCUGCCAAGGUUCAUUUUCAAUUGAAAUAUGUGCCAACUCAGUGAAAAAGUUCUUUGGGAUGAUUGCUAUAUGAUGGUAAUAGUUAUUGCACAUACUACAUCAAACAUCACUACUACCUUCUGUGGAAGAACUGGGCAUGUGUGUGCAUGUACGUAAGGACUUAUCCAGGUAUUAACACUGCUUUUGACUUUUAACUGCUUUUUGCUUUUAACUGCUUUUGCUUUUUACUUUUAACAAUCAUCUGAGAUAACUAGAUCUAUUGCAAGAAACCAUGAUUGACUGAAGAAACUUAUAGUGUCAGAUGUUAUGCAGUUGAUUGGCAGUUUAUAUUUUUUUGAGCAUGUUGUUUCACAUCUGGUAUAUCCUACUGUAAUUAUAAGGACUUGGUUUUUGUAAUGAGAUUACAAUAUUCACUAAUGUGUUACUUCCUAAAACUGAAAAGACUAAGAGUGACCUAAAUUUUGGCCCAGUUCACCAUCAUUAUAGGCCAGUACGAGACCUGAACUGGGUUCUCCACAUCCUGAAGUUAAGAAAUAAAUCAACCACUUUAUAUAGGACGUGCCAAAUCUUUUAUGGUUGCAGUAUUGUUUUGUUAAUUUCGCUACAAUGAUGGUCUGUCAAAAUGCACUGGCUAAUCAAAAACUCCUAUUAAAUUACAAUAUUUCAAAUACAAAUAAUACAAAACAAUAGUGUUAGAAUUAAAUAAAGAUAACUUUUAGAAAUUAACAACUUUAUGUAUAAAUGGUUCACAAUUGUAAACAAAAUCCAAAAAUGUAUGUGCAUGUUUAUAAUCUGUGAAAUAACCUGUGAAAUAUAGGAUACCAUCACAGAUCAGCUUAUAAUGUCAAGGGUCCUGGGCUCGAUCUUGAGAUCGGGUUACUGUCUGUGUAGAGUUCCCUUCGUCCCUGUGAGUUUCCUCCGAGUUCUCCAGUUUCCUGCCGUUUCCCAAAAACAUGCCAGUAGGUGGACUGGCUAAGAUAAAUUGCCCCUAGGUGUGAAUGUGUGUGUGCAUGGUGCCCUGUGAUAGAUUGGCAUCCCAUCCAGGGUGUAUUCCCACCUCAUGCCUAGUGUUCCUGGGAUAGGAUCCGGGUCCACCAUGACUCUGACCAGGAUAAAGCGGUCACUCUGAGUGAGUGAGUGAGUGAGUGAGUAUCACUCGUGUAUUUGCAUUUCCUAGUACUUUAGAUUUUAUAUAAACGGCCAAACUGAAGCUAUGAGAUUCUUUAGGACAAGUGUGCGAACUUGAGUACUGUUUUAAAAACUCCCAGUGAUGGUAAAUGUGUCUACCUAGAGCAAAUUAUUGAAAUGAAUGUCUAGCAUGCCAACAAUGAGCUAAAUAACAAAUUAAUUAAAAAAAAUACCAAACCCAGCCUUUAGCUUCUGCUUUGACUAACAAAUACACAAAAUGAACGUAAUAGUCUGUAUUAAACACAGCCGGUAUCUUGUUAUAAUGUGCGCCUAGAAUAGAUGGAUAAGAUAGAGAGGUUUUUGUACAGAUAUAUUUGUUUAAUAACCCUCAGGUCAGGCUGGAUUUAGAGAGAAGUUCAGAUGGGAAAGUCAUUAUUGACACCUCACACAGCCAAGAGGCGCCUGCCAAACUGAACUGACUCCAGAUAACACAGUGGUGCCGAGUCAAACUCUUUUAUUAUUACUUCUUACUAUUCCUAAACAUUUGAGAACAACAUAUUUGUAUUCUGACUUAAGUAGUGCUCACUAUAUAUGUCUCAUUGGCAUGAAUGUGGUGCUGUUAAACUUAACACAUAAAACUUGAUAGGAGCAAAAGGAAAUUUGUCUGAACUGAUUAUAACUUUUGUAUCUUUUCUGCCUCCGUGACACCGCAAGAUAGAAAUCUUACCUGAAAUUGUGUAUAUUUAGUCACUUCAAUAAUAGUGAGGCCUGACCUAUAAAUCUACCACGUCAAGCAAUACAGCGGUAAUACUACAAUACUAUAGUGGACUUGCUAAAGCAAGGAGAGCAUUCACACCCCUGGCCCUCGAGAGUGCCAUUUCACUGUUUAAUAAGCUGAGCUGGGCAGUCUCCAUGUUCUAACACAGAACCAGAUACAACAAGCUCGGUGAGAGAAAGAGAGAGAGCGCUUGAACUGAGAAGAGGUAAAACCUCAUUGUUUAGUGCUAAAUAUUCCAGAAUGCUAUAUAAAAGCAAGAGUGAAAAAAUACAAUGCGUACAGGACCACCAAAACUGAAUUCAACUGCAAGUGUGCCGAGUGAGCAGGAAAAAAAGCCAGAACAUUUUAAUUUGUCAUUACUAUCAGUGACACUGGAGAAAAAAGAAAAGAUUGGUGCUAGAAAGUCACUGAUGGUGGUACAUUUUGGGUCAUUUGUGCUGAAACCAGGGCUGAAUUUCUAGCAUGGGUGCCUGCUCUUACGAAAUCUUAUUUUAUCUUAUUAUUAAAUGUAUAAAGGAGCAUUAUUGGAGUGGUACUGUAAGACUCAGUGAGUCUAUGAGUCUCAAAAAUAAAAAACUUAACCAUGCUUGCUGAAUAUUCAGACAUAUUCAGAAACCUGAUGCAUUGUCUCCUCUCUUUGAUUCUAUGAUAUUGUGAUGUUGCAAGAGACCCUGUAGGCCAGAGCAUGCUGAAAAAUCUUGCACGACAAGUUGCCCUCAUGCAACUCAAGAGGGAUAUGUUUACCCUUUACCCCUGCCUCUAUGGUUAUAUUUAGAGUUCAACAUGAGGGAAAGUGUAAACCUACUUCCACUGCUAUCUGACACAAGUCACAGGUGGACACACACUCCUAUGACCAAUCCUGUGCCUCCCGUAGAGGCUUGGCAUGCUAUCAGAGCGUACACUUUAUUAAAUACCUUUUUUUAUUGCCUUGAAAGUUUCUGAGCAGCUACAGAAAGUGUUACAGAAAGCAGCUUUAUGAAUAGUAACUUUAUUUGGUUGGGAGCAACGCAUUCGGAAUUAGACAAACAGUAUACUCUGCUCUAAUGGCAAGGUCUCCAUUUUACUUUCUCUGAAGUGUCUUUCAAGAGUCAUUCCGAAAAUAAAAAAACAACUUUUCACCUCUGUUACCUUCAAGUAGCUGUCUCUUUUACAACCUCAUUAAGUCACAUGUGGUGUGGCUGCCAUAUUUGCUAGUAGACUAAAGUAUAGCAGUUUUUCUUGUGAUUGCCAAAGCCUGGAGUCAAGCCACCUGAUGAUUCAGCACAAAGCCACAGGGUGCUUUUCAGCCUGCUCGCACAUGCAGGCCUGUGAGUAAGAGCACAAUUAAGUGCCAUACUGCCGAUCUGGCAAUAAUAGACUUUAAUAGACCUUCCCACUAAUCGCAGACCUCCGAACUCCAUUUCAUACAGUGUUCUGUGUACAUUUUACCAUUUUACCUUUACUUUUUUUCUUUUCAUUUUUCAAUUAUGUGAAAAGUCAUGGGGUAAAGCAUGUGACUAGCAGUUUUUUCACUAAUAUAUUUUACAUGUGAAAUAAAAAGAGAAGAAUACAGUUAAAGUUUCUGUGUACAGCUGAAAAAAAAUAAUAAUAUUGUAAGUAAAUAUAAUAAACUCAUGAGAGGACUUUAGGGUAAAAUACAAUCAAUUUUUUAUUAAUGACCUUAUUUUUUAAUCACCUUAAUCACUAAAAAGAUAGAUAAACAAGAUAGAGAACAAAAUAAUCAGAGUAAGAAAUUGUUAUAACUGUAACAUACCUCUUUCAUUAUUUAUGGAACACCAUAUGUUUAAUCAUUUGUGAAACAGCAAUGUCUUUUGUUUUGCUUUUUUUUUUUUCCAUCUUGUAGUUUUUCAUUUUGAUACAUUUUCUUCAGACAUGUAAGAAACUGCUUGUGUAACUUCUUGUAACUCCCACCAGCCACUGUUUCACCGUAGGAGUCACCUAUUUCAACUGUUUCUUGCACAACAUAAUCACUGGAAAGUGUAUUCCUAACAGGCUUUAAGCAUACAAAUUUCUUUCCAAAAAAAUAAGGCAUAACACCCUUACUUUUACCCAACCAUUUGUAAUUAUACGUACAGUAUAUCUUGUUUUUGAGACACAGUUGUACCUGCAAGUUAUGUGCGUUUUCCUGAUGCUCCUAAGGAAAAGGAAUAAUUUAAAAUUGAGUGCGUACAAAGGAGAAUGGUCCAAUUGUCCUACAUGGUGUCUUUGCAUGAACAACUCCAAUACAACGCCUCCAUGCAAUGUCCAGUGUGCAUGGAUGAUUGGACAGAUUUGGAGGUGAUCAAGGACUACAUGCAGCCAUGAUUCAGCACAAUCGGUUUAAGAGCCUCUUAGGCAGUUCUUAAAGAGACAUGCCUAGGUAAAAAAGAGACUAAAAAAUGUAAAGUACAUGCAUCCGUGAUGUAAACACAGAGCAUAGUAAAGGAUUCCAGCCAUACUCUAAACUUAACCAUAAAUAUCUUUCAUCUUGUGUUUGUUAACGAUAUUACUUUGUCAUGGCAUCAAUGCAAGUUUUCCCUGUUCUCUCUAACAGUGUGCAGGAGCAAAGAAAUUGGGAAAUGCUUCAAAAAUGCUCACUGGCAUUGGCAAUAAUGACCAAGAAUGUCACACAAGACUUAGGUUUUAUGGUCCAUGCAUCCUUUUCCGGUGACGGCAUCACCCCACAGCAAGACGUUAGUCUGCAUUCUUUGUCAUUGUGGUAGUCUUUUUGGGCGGUAGAAGUAUUGCGACGCUUUCAACACUCAUGAGGUCAAGGAGGAGAAAGAGAGAGAGAGAGAGAGAGAGAGAGGUAAAACUGAGAGCUGAAGCACGCCUGUACUGUGAAAACCAACACAGCUCGGCUUUUAACCAGAACCACAUGCAAGCCCUACCAUGGCCAAACCAAAUGAAUGAACGUUUGUUCUGAACAAAACCAAGAUGUGUAACAGCAAGCUGAUAUUCACUAGCAAAUGUCGCUGCCAUUUUUUCCUCAUACAGCGCAUUUACACACGAGAGCUCUGCAGGUCGUAAUGGAAUCUCAGUUUCCCUGACUAUUCCCUAGUCGUAGUCUCCAAAAAGUGCUUUCGCUCUCAUGACUGUUUCCACUAGGGCUUUUAUCAAAUAGUAUUCGGGAAGGUAGGCAGGGCAAAUAGCUUUUGUGUCAAACAGAGAUCUAGUGUUUUAUCUCACUAAACAGAUUUAUGGAUUCAGAGUGUAAGGGUGAAGAAAUAAAGACUAGAUGUGCAUGCGCAGUUUGAGAGAGUCCGUAGAAACUUAGUGUACAAAGAUCAAGGGAUUUUCAUCCGUCCAAUACGUACAAAUGAUCAGGAAAUAUAGAGAGAUGAUUUUUUUCUCCUCUUUGGUUUGAAACUGGUGAGACAGGUUAAGACAUGAGUCAUAGCGUAGCAGGGAACCUUUCUGACAGUCUUCCCAGCCUUUAACAAGUUUAGACCUUGUCCACAGCAGUAAAAUCAAAUUUUUCUUCUCCAUGUUCAUGUCCAUGAUGAUGAUCUCGUUGAGCUCGAUGAUCCUGAUGAGCUCUUGUUUUACUCUUAUUAACAAUGAACGUGCAUGCUUAAGCAAGUUCACGAGAAAAACACACAUUACAUACUAUAGCAUUAUAAAUAUCGCAACCUUAGCAAUAAUGGAAGGCAUGGAAGUGUGAAAUGGGAGAACAUAACGAGUGUUUAAGAUGCACAAAAUGGAAGGUCUGUUCCUAGAAUAACUUAAUGUCAGUCAUGAGUCCACAGGUGUGGUGACACAGCACCAUGUACAGCCAGGAAAUGCUCUGCUCCACAGGGCAAACUCCUUGGCACUGAGAGAUGGUCUUUCCUGGCAUGCGUGGCAGGUAAGAAACAGCCAAUAUGCUUUCCAGACGCCACCAUGAGCUCUAUCUCUAAAGAUGGAAGAGCCACAGCAAACUGGGAUCAGAUUACACCAAUUAAGCCAUGACUAGCUGUGUUUUGUAGUUAUAAUUCGAUUAUAGAGUGCUGGAAUUAAGACAGAUUUGGGCACAAAAAAGCAACAAAGCAAAUAAGUUUAUUGUUUUAUUAGUCCAGCAAAUCUUUUUUUCAAAGCCCAUUAAAUACCCAUGAUGAUAUUUUCUCUUUAUCCACAAUAUAUCUUCCAAUCCUAAAUCCUCAGGCUUUCAUGUGCUAAACAGUAAACUAUGGGAGUAAUUAUGUGUUCUGCUGUUGUGAAGCUAAAUGCCUAGGAGGGUUUACACAUGGGUGCAAAAUUACACAGUUGGCUACUUACUGCCUACUUACACAGCAAUUAUACCCCACCCCUCAAUUUAAUGGUACUAUAUUAAGCAACUUUUUGUUGUGUUUUAAUGGCGAACAUAAACAUGAUGAAAUAUUAAGCAAAUAAUUUAAGGGUGGUAGGUAAGUGUCGGACAAUGGCGACAUAAAAUUGAAUCACAUAAAUGUUAAAUUGUGAGGGGGAUAAACAAAUUGGAGAAAUCAUGCUGAGGUUGGAGUAAGGGAAGGUCAACGUUUUGGAUUAUUCGAGAUUGUAUUCUCCACAUUGUCUCCUUUAUACUUACUGCCGUUCAGCUGUCUUUGCUUUUCAGUUUUCAAUUAUGUAAAGAGCCAUGUGGUCACUGGGUAUUUGUCGCUAAUGUGUCAUGUAUGCAAAGACAACUAAGAGCACUCGGUGCAGCCUCCUGCUUCAUGAUGACGUCUUUACUAAGUAAUGCAUUACUUAAUGAACAUAAAAUUAAUAAAAUGAUUCAUAUGAAUUAUUAAUAAUGUGUGCAUAUUGUUUUUAAAUAUAAAUAAAAUUGGUUUUAAGUGAUCCUGUAAGAUGUAUUAAUAUUGUUUUUUAUAAAAAAUAUUUUUUAAUUUAAGUCAGCUCUUAACCUCAAUUUCUGAAAUAAUGAAACGGGUACAAUUUCUGAAAUAACGAAACAAAAUUAUAAUUAAUUAUAAUUAUAUAAUAUAUAAUAAUUAUAAUUAACAAAAGCAUGUUGUAUUUCUUGUGAAUUUUUUUUUCUCUGUUUAAUUGUUCACGCAACCUCAAUGUCAUUUACGUUCCAUUCUUUUUUUUUUACCCCUCAUCUUUUAAACAAUUUGCAAAAAUGUCCCAAAUAAUGAUGUACAAAAUGACAAUGUCUUUCAUUUUCUACAGGAUUAUGAUUCAUGUUAGAAUUAUUAGUUUGUCGAAUUAUUUCAGCUUCGUCUCUGAUAUUCCUAGGAAUCCAUCUACAAGUAUGCCUGCUAGAGACGAAGUGAGGUAAUAUCAUACACAAGGAGUUAAAUUAAGUUCAAUAAGAAACGCCACUCUGCAAUUUCCAGAUGCUCUCAAGGGAAGUAAACAAGCAAACAUGCGGCCGUAAAAUUAAGAGCCUCUUCUGUCCUGCUGCCAUGUGACCGCAGAGGCAUAUGACUUCCAUAACUUUCCCUGCUCAUUAUCUGCUGAUGGUAGUGCAUAAUUGAGUCAGUGUUUUUGCAGCUUGGCAUGUCCAUUGCCUCGGCUUGAGAAGACUCUCGCCUUCGUCCUGCCUGGAAACAUACUGUGAGGCACUUCACAUGAUAGUCUCAUGCAAGGAACGGGGAAAAACUGGGAUACAAAGGCCAAUUCUAUACAUGAAUAUAGCUUUUCUUAGCAAGCAUCACUUUCAUUAAUCAGCAACCUUAACCACACAAUAAUUAAAUUAAACCCUCUAGGCUUGGCAAUGUAAUAAGAAGACAAAUGUUGCUAAGCUAUUCCUGGUUGCCUUUUCAGUGGUUGUACAGAGCGAAAGAGCAAGUCAGAGAGGUCAGGGUGGGGGCACAGUAAGGAGGGAUACACUCAUCCACUGUAUGUAGGGGGAUUUGUGGAUUUGUGAUAAGAUAAGGUAAGCUCAGUUGAACCUAUGAGCCAGAUGUCUUUCGAAACUAAAAGUCCACAGUAGGCUCUGUAUACUAAAACAGACAUAUAGAUCAGUGUUAAUGCUCGUUUAUUGUGCACACGUCAUUUCCUUGGCUACAGGAAGAGUACACUAAGAGAGCAAUGUAGUAACCUUAUAUACUCAUGACAUAAUGAGGAACAUUUCUAUUCCUUAAUAUUUUACUCCUCAGGACACUUAUACUACAUAUAAUGCUCAUUUAUCCUCAUAAUAUUUCAAUGCAAUUACCCUUUUCAUAAAUACAUUGAUAAUACAUCAGUUACGAGCUUAUAUGUUUCAAAAGCUUGUCAAAAAAGGAUCUUCUUAGUGUUAUGUCUUUGUUUCUUGUCACAUUUCUGCUGCGAAACAGCUCAGAUCAGCAUGAAUUCCAAGCUGGUUUAUACUGGUUAGUACUGGUAAAGCUGGUCUUAAUGCAGUUAGCAUGAUAUUUCUGGUUGCUGGAGGCUUUGUGCUGGUCUAAGCUGGUUUGUCUAACAGAAAAGUGGACACUACACACCACCUGCUGGUAGCAUUGUGUUUCUCUGGGUGUCAUUGAGUGAUUAAGAUACAAACAGACCUGCUACAGGAGGGUUUCACAAUGUUUAAUAUGUAUAUAGUUGAUGUAUACAGGAACUGAAGAGUGUGUGUUCACCUGAUGGGUGAAAAGAGGAGGAAGUGUGGGGAUCAUCUCUACAGGUAAGGAAUGUGUAGAGGUAUGUUUCGGACACCAGGGGACGCCACACUUCCUUUGUUUUUUUACAAGGCACGUGGCCUCGCAAGCGUAAACAUUCCCAGCAUUCCCCGGAUGUUAACGCCUGUAUUAUGUUUAGCAUGUGCUGCACACCACUCCGACUAUGGUCACAUUCAUCAUCCAUAACCCCUCAGACAUCCAUAACCGGGCAUUUAUUUGUCUUUUGUUGUUUUUUUUUUCACAUUAGCCAUUACUCACAGACUGAGAAUGAAGAUUCGGUUAUAGUAAAUGCUCUUAUUACUCCUGCCAAGAAUAAUGACAAUGUAGAACCUAAUCAGUUAUAAAGUGGAUGCAGGCUGGAUGUAUUUGUGUUUAAAGGGCUGCCAGAUGCAGAACUCCCUCACUGUGCAUGCUUGUAAAGAGUCAGAAUAUACACACAUACAAAUCAUUUAUUCAUUUAAUAAUAAAUCAAAUCAAUCAUUUAUACUCUCUCUCUCUCUCUCGAUCGAGCUACACAUGCUCCUCAUGAGACGCCAGUGAUCCUGACCCCUUCUGCUCUCCGGAUCUGCCUGAUCCGUCCUGAUGCCCUACUUCUGGUUGGAGUUCUCAUCACUUGGAAAUCACUCGCUGCUGCUGAGGAUGGCCGCACACGAACAGCCUGAAGUUACAUGAGAUUACUGAGGAUGGUUCCACUUAGAAACCAUGAAGAUGGCUUAGGCCUGCAAUUGCUAUGAUAGCUUUAGGACUGCAAUUCCCACAAACAGUUUUGCAUUCAAGUCUCCAUCAGUGAACAGUUUAUAACUUCAACAAAACAGACUUCAUGUGAAAACUAUGAGUUUUCCUAGUUGCACAAUUGCACUAUUUGUCCACGAAGAACACAGUUAUAGAAGAGAAAUGAUUUAUAAUCACACUAUCCGGUGUCACCCAGAUGAGAAUGGGUUCCCUUCUGAGUCUGGUUCCUCUCAAGGUUUCUUCCUCAUGAUGUCUCAGGGAGUUUUUCCUCACCAUCGUCACCUCUGGCUUGUUCAUUAGGGAUAAAUUCAUACAUUUAAAAUUCAUAAGUUUAUAUAUUUCAGUGAAGCUGCUUUGUGACAAUGUCUAUUGUUAAAAGCGCUAUACAAAUAAAACUGAAUUGAAUUCACAAUA